CCUACGGGUGGCAGCAGUGGGGAAUAUUGCGCAAUGGGCGAAAGCCUGACGCAGCGACGCCGCGUGAGUGAUGAAGGUCUUCGGAUCGUAAACCUCUGUCAGCAGGGAAGAACGGUCACUGUGCUAAUCAGCCGUGAAUUGACGGUACCUGCAAAGGAAGCCCCGGCUAACUCCGUGCCAGCAGCCGCGGUAAUACGGAGGUGGCGAGCGUUAAUCGGAAUUACUGGGCGUAAAGCGCUCGUAGGCGGUAUGUCAAGUCAAGGGUGAAAGCCCCGCGCUCAACGGGGGAACUGCCUUUGAAACGGGCAAACUGGAGUGUGUGAGAGGAUAGUGGAAUUCCAGGUGUAGGAGGGAAAUCCGUAGAUAUCUGGAGGAACAUCAGUGGCGAAGGCGACUAUCUGGCACAUAACUGACGCUGAGGAGCGAAAGCGUGGGUAGCAAACAGGAUUAGAUACCCGAGUAGUC
rnacentral:rRNA from 1 species